CUUCUUUUUCACCGGAGCUUGCUCCACCGGAAAAAGAGGAGUGGCGAACGGGUGAGUAACACGUGGGUAACCUGCCCAUCAGAAGGGGAUAACACUUGGAAACAGGUGCUAAUACCGUAUAACAAUCAAAACCGCAUGGUUUUGAUUUGAAAGGCGCUUUCGGGUGUCGCUGAUGGAUGGACCCGCGGUGCAUUAGCUAGUUGGUGAGGUAACGGCUCACCAAGGCCACGAUGCAUAGCCGACCUGAGAGGGUGAUCGGCCACAUUGGGACUGAGACACGGCCCAAACUCCUACGGGAGGCAGCAGUAGGGAAUCUUCGGCAAUGGACGAAAGUCUGACCGAGCAACGCCGCGUGAGUGAAGAAGGUUUUCGGAUCGUAAAACUCUGUUGUUAGAGAAGAACAAGGAUGAGAGUAACUGUUCAUCCCUUGACGGUAUCUAACCAGAAAGCCACGGCUAACUACGUGCCAGCAGCCGCGGUAAUACGUAGGUGGCAAGCGUUGUCCGGAUUUACUGGGCGUAAAGCGAGCGCAGGCGGUUUCUUAAGUCUGAUGUGAAAGCCCCCGGCUCAACCGGGGAGGGUCAUUGGAAACUGGGAGACUUGAGUGCAGAAGAGGAGAGUGGAAUUCCAUGUGUAGCGGUGAAAUGCGUAGAUAUAUGGAGGAACCCAGUGGCGAAGCGGCUCUCUGGUCUGAACUGACGCUGAGCUCGAAGCGUGGGAGCAACAGAUAGAUACCU
rnacentral:rRNA from 1 species